ensembl:snRNA U4 U4 spliceosomal RNA
CGCUUUGCGUGGUGGCAGUAUUGUAGCCAAUGAGGUUUAUCCGAGGCGUGAUUAUUGCUAAUUGAAAACUUUGCUUACUCUAAAUGUUGAGUUGUACAUGGGAAUUAUGGAAAUCAUUGUUUCCUUUACCAAAG